AGGGCAAUCAGAAAAAAUGCCAUGAAACCAAACAAAUCAGUAAAAGUCAUGGAAACCAUCAGCAAUAUUUAAUUCAGAAAUUCUCUUUGUUAGGGAACUUAGCUGAAAGAAAACAGCUGGAUGUAGUUCAACCCUCUAAAUUAAAAACAAUCUAACAAGGUCUAUAGGGAUAGCUCUUUCAGCUACAUAUUGGAGACCAGAUUCACUUCUACCAAGUAAAUGUAAUAGCACUCAAAGCUAGAAAGGAAAUUCCUCAGAACUGAGGUAGUUUCUAAGUAUCAGCACAUUUUCCAACUCCUCGCAAGGCAACUGAGCUAUUUACAAUCCAUUUUUUCCCACACAUAAAUUUAUAACUUUUUCAGUUUUAUGCUUCCGUGAUUUAUUUUCUAAAGAAAAAAUAGCCAGAAUAUCCCUAACUCCACUAACAUCGUGUUUUAAUAAAUAACGGGCUACUUCUAGCAAAAUUAAGCCUCCAGGAUUGUUUCCAGCGGCCAAGAAUACCUCAUCUUUAUAGCUUUGCAGAAAUUUGGUGUGAAAAUAAAGUUGAAUAUAACGCUGACCCUGAGCUAACAAGUAAUUAAUGCUUCAAUAUAAAAAUAGAACAUUAUCCUUACAACACAAGACUGGAAUACAGCAAACCUUCUCUCUCUCUCUGGACUGUGUUCCUGGCUGGAUCCCAGUGUCCAGCCAGACCUAAAGGCUAUAUCUAAAGCAGGAGACAUGCAGAGGAAUUCUGAGUCUUUCUGAAGACUCUUUUUCACCCCCCUAAACUCUUUAAAUUCUUCUUUCUUUUCUUAAAAACAAACAUUUCUUUUAUUAAUGAACUGCUGUUCACCAUUACGCUGUUACAACCACAAAAGGCAAAGAUAGAGAGAGAUGGGCAUCUCAGGCAGUGUUGGAAAGCUGCUCGCUCAGUGCCCGGGCUCCGGGUCCCAGGUGACCAAAUGCACCAAAAAGGGGCAUUUUCAGCCCAGCCAGCUCCUGCCCCAAUCUGCCUGCAACACUGCAGCUCUGCCUGGCUGGUCCUUCCCUUCUGCACCCAACCAAAGCUGCAAAAACAAAACCAGCAGCCCCCCCUGCUUCACCCUCAGCAAAGUAUUCCUAAAAAUGACAAUGAUAAUAGUCAAUCCAGCGCUCAUCUAACAGAUUUGCAGUCAAGACACACGUUGGCAUUUGGAUCUGUGACACGACAAGUUGCUUCCAACUGAACAAGUUUAAUGCCUUAUUCCCAUGGGGGAUGCAUGUUGGGAACUGACCUACAUGAAGUUACAGCUAAUUGCAAGGAUCCGGGGGAACACAUGAAAACUCUUCUUAGCAUCCACGAAACUGGAAUUCUCCACAGUCUCUUCCAAUGUAACCAAACAUCCCGUAAAGAAAGCACAACCUGCUCCUGGCAUUACCACCUCCUGCAAAUGGGGCACGUGGCACGCUGACCAGCUCUGCCUUCAUCUUCUCUUUCAGCACAUCAUAAAGACAAAUUACUUCCACUUCUUUCCAGAUAAGGCAACUAACAUAAGGCGGAUAAAUGGGAAGUUAACUACAUGAAACACGUUUUCUGCUCGUUUGGUAAUUAUUUUUCCCCACAAGAUAACAUGAUAAAUAAAACCUGCUUCUGUACAGAUAUUCCUCAUUUCAGAAACACAUACUUGUUACAUGCCAAGAGAGGACCGUGGGUUUCUUCUUCUCAUAAGAAAUGUGGUAAAAUAAAAUAAAAUUAAAAAAAAAAAUAAAGAGAAGUGAUAAAGACGAAUGCAGAGCUAACUACAGGCUUGUAUAUACAUUUUUGUUAUCCACCUCUAUCAUGGACUCUUGGUGAACGGGACAGACUGACGGGCCCCAUUCCUGUUAACCCCAGAAUAGCAAGGGGAAAAAAUACCAGUAUCUUAAAACCAGUGGCAACAUAGUAAAAACUGUACACUGUUGUCCAUUAACUUAAAAAGCAAAGUCACUAGAUGGUAUAAAAGUGAAAGCAGGUGCCUUCUAACUUUGAUAAUAAGAGUCUCUUUUUUCUCCCUAUGCUGCACAAUUAUCUCCAUUGUCUUUGCAUGGCCAAGACCAAAACGCUAAGGAACAAGGCUGCUUGUGAUAAACCGCUACUGGGAGCGGCAGAAGUGUUCACUUUUUUAUCACUCUUGUUGGAGCUCCCAGUAACUUCAGUCGCGUUGAACUCGAACUCCGUGGAGCACUGCUGGAACUCACAGCCGCUGCCGCUCUCCUCCCCGCUGCUCUCUUCACUGACGUCAAUGAAGUCGACGUCGUUCCCACUGUAUGCAUUCUUCAGCUUGUUGGUCAUCACCCUCAGAACCAUGAUUUGCCGACGAAUCACCAUGUCUGGCUUGGUAAUAUCGACUUCCACCUCAGGGUUGUUCACUUGACUUGCUAAGCCGUUUCCAGUCACCGCAAAGUCGUACCUGCUCUUGGCGCUCCCGUUCCAGCACUCAUUCUCGUUGCCCGUGCCCACAGAUAUCUUUUCAUCACUGCAAAUGUUGCCAGGGAGAGAUGACCAAAAUUUUUUGGCUUGCUUCAGCUUUUCUUUCACAUCAGUAACCAGCCUGUCCAAGCUCGUGCCUGCAGCUGUGGUCGGCCGCUCUUCGGGGUUGUAGGGUCUGAAGCGAGCACUGAAACCACCCUCAGAGACGGAGCGAGCGGUUCGGCCCUGUGCGAGUGUUUUUGGCUGGCCACAUCCCUGGAAAACCUUCUGAGACACUUGCAUGCUGUUCUCCUGCAUAUUCAUGAUUGCAUCUGAAAUUUUCACAUCAAUGGGGUCCAUGACUGACUCAAUGUUAAAAGGCCCCUCCAGCCUCUCUGCUACCAGCAGCAUCGAACCCAUAAAGAUAUUCCACUCGGCAUCCAAAUCCCCUUGGUUGGCCAAGCAGCCUCUCAUGACGUUAAAGCAGUAAUUGUAACAGGGCUUCACCGAUGUCAGACCUCGACAGUGCGGGCAGUACAUCAUUUUCAGCAGUGCCUGUGUACCCUGUGGUGUAGGGUUCACCGCAGACACUUUGCUGAUGACGUCCCUCGCCACAGCAAGGCCUUGCGCGAAGGUGCGGGCUGCCACAAAUGCUCGAGUCACUUGAAGCUUCAGCUUGCGCGGCACGUCCCCAAAGGGCUUCAGCUGCUCCGUGUACUUGCUGACACACUCAAGGUACUCAUCCGUGAAGUGGUACUGUGGGUUCACCAGCCGGAACAUGCGCUCCAACAGGCGCGCCCAGAAGUCGUUGAGCAUCUCCUCUAGGUUGACAUUGCCACCCACGUAGUACCGCUUCAGCUCCACGAAGAGGUCCUUGAACAGCUCUGAGUUCUGCAUGUACAACCGGCCGUACGUCCGCACAAACAUGUCGUUCAGUGACUUCUCAGCGUUCUCGAGAAGCUCUUUGAAGAACUCAUCAAACUUCUUGUAUCUGGAACUAAACAUCGUUUGCAAGUGAUUGCUAAGCUCUACAACGGCGUUUCUGAAGUCGUGUUUGCUCAGUUGACUGUAUCUCUCUUCCAUUUCUUGAGUGCAGCACGUGUAGGCUUGUGAGCAGACUUUCAAGUGGUCGCCGCUGAUCUCGUGGCUGGGCGCUUCGCUCUGGCUGAAGCCUUUGGCGGCGUAGAGCCUCCGCACUUCGGAGCAACUUUUAGCGCGGGGCUCGGCGGCCAGCAGCAGCGGCAGGCUGAGGGCGGCUAAAGUGCAGACGAGGGGCGGCAGGGAGCAGCGCCGCCGCGGCAUGGUGCGGGCGGGCGGGGGGGCCGCCGGGGCCGCGGCCGGGGCAGCGCGGCCCGAAGCCGGAGCCGGCCCUCCGCCGAGCCCGCGCCGCGCAGGAGCCGCGCCCGCUGCCGUGCACCCCUCUCCGCUCCGCUCCGGCUCCGCUCCGCUGGGCCGUGAGUGCGGCGGCGCUCUGCAAACUUGGCC
rnacentral:lncRNA from 1 species